rnacentral:pre_miRNA from 1 species
UUGAAGGAUUUGAAGACUUCAACUUGUAUACUUAUAGGAUUUGAAGACUUCAACUUGCAUAUUUGAAGGAUUUGAAGACUUCAACU